AUACGUAGGGGGCAAGCGUUGUCCGGAAUGAUUGGGCGUAAAGGGCGCGUAGGCGGCCCGGUAAGUCUGAAGUGAAAGUCCUGGUUUUAAGCUGGGAAUUGCUUUGGAUACUGUCGGGCUUGAGUGCAGGAGAGGUAAGUGGAAUUACCAGUGUAGCGGUGAAAUGCGUAGAGAUUGGGAGGAACACCAGUGGCGAAGGCGACUUACUGGACUGUAACUGACGCUGAGGCGCGAAAGUGUGGGGAGCAAACAGGAUUAGAUACCCUGGUAGUCCACACUGUAAACGAUGAAUGCUAGGUGUAGGGGGUAUCGACCCCUUCUGUGCCGCAGUAAACACAAUAAGCAUUCCGCCUGGGGAGUACGGCCGCAAGGUUGAAACUUAAAGGAAUCGACGGGG
rnacentral:rRNA from 1 species